rnacentral:rRNA from 1 species
AGGACGAACGCUGGCGGCGUGCCUAACACAUGCAAGUCGAACGAGGUCCACUUGGUGGCAACACCGGGGAAGACCUAGUGGCGAACGGGUGAGUAACACGUGAGCAACCUGCCCCGAAGUCUGGGAUAACACCGGGAAACCGGUGCUAAUACCGGAUGCCCCUGUCGUGCCGCAUGGCAUGAUGGGGAAAGGAUUUCCGCUUUGGGAGGGACUCGCGGCCUAUCAGUUUGUUGGUGAGGUAAAAGCUCACCAAGACGACGACGGGUAGCUGGUCUGAGAGGACGAUCAGCCACACUGGGACUGAGACACGGCCCAGACUCCUACGGGAGGCAGC